UCUGACUCUCUGGCUGUACCAAAAAGGAACGACACAGAGAAGAUGAGCAUGGCUGCUGUGCAAGGAUGACACACACACUCACGCGCAUGGCACGUUUUUU
rnacentral:snRNA from 1 species